GAUGAACGCUAGCUACAGGCUUAACACGUGCAAGUCGAGGGGAAACGAUAGAGAAAGCUUGCUUUUUCUAGGCGUCGACCGGCGCACGGGUGAGUAACGCGUAUCCAACCUGCCCACCACUUGGGGAUAACCUUGCGAAAGUAAGACUAAUACCCAAUGACGUCUCUAGAAGACAUCUGAAAGGGAUUAAAGAUUUAUCGGUGAUGGAUGGGGAUGCGUCUGAUUAGCUUGUUGGCGGGGUAACGGCCCACCAAGGCAACGAUCAGUAGGGGUUCUGAGAGGAAGGUCCCCCACAUUGGAACUGAGACACGGUCCAAACUCCUACGGGAGGCAGCAGUGAGGAAUAUUGGUCAAUGGACGUAAGUCUGAACCAGCCAAGUAGCGUGCAGGAUGAAGGCCCUCCGGGUCGUAAACUGCUUUUGGGUGAGGGUAAAAGGCGGGACGUGUCCUGCGUAUUGCAAGUAUCACCCGAAUAAGGACCGGCUAAUUCCGUGCCAGCAGCCGCGGUAAUACGGAAGGUCCGGGCGUUAUCCGGAUUUAUUGGGUUUAAAGGGAGCGCAGGCGGUUCUUCAAGUCAGCUGUGAAAACGCGGGGCUCAACCUCGCGCCUGCAGUUGAUACUGUUGAACUUGAGUGCACACAGGGAUGUUGGAAUUCAUGGUGUAGCGGUGAAAUGCUUAGAUAUCAUGAAGAACUCCGAUCGCGAAGGCAUAUGUCCGGUGUGUUACUGACGCUGAGGCUCGAAAGCGCGGGUAUC
rnacentral:rRNA from 1 species